rnacentral:lncRNA from 1 species
CUAUUGAUACCUUAAUAGGUUUGUUUAUAUUUACUCUCUACAAAACCAUAAUUAUAAUGUCUCUUAAUAAGCCUCUUUGCAUUACUGUUAAAAUGCUCUCCAAAAAGAAAUCCUUCUUAUUUAACAAGGUUAACUUUUCCGGUGAAUAAUUUUAUACACUGGCAAGAACUACUAUUCAGGCUGUUAUUUUCCAUGAGCUAAAGCAAAGUAUUCUUUAUUUAUGUUUAAUAUAUCCAAAAGUAAUACUAAUAUUUUCCAGAUCCUUGCAACUCUUUAUAGCAUAAGUUUCCUUGCAAAUAACAUCUCAUGGCUGUAGAGAAAUGGCCCAUUCAGCUUGUUUAACAUCCAAUGAUAUACCUACAGAAAAUCAAUCUCCAGAAUUAUAGUAUCGCAUGUUCACUAACCCAAGAAUCAUGUAACUUUUACUACCACGAGCACAAAAAAAAAACCUUUGCUCUACAGGAAAACUAGCUGCCAUUAUGUAAAGUAGACAUAAGUAUCUUGCAAGAUACAUGCUUAACUUUUAUUUUAUUUCACUUUUUUUUGUGAAGAUUCAAAGAGGUGUAUGGGAAGAGAAGUGGACGCUAUCAUAUUAGUGUUGCAGAAAGGAUUAGCAUGUUAACAAUAGGGAGAGUCCAAGAAAAGAAAGUUCUAUGUUUUCCUGUUUUGAUUAUUGUCACACCCAACUGUAGUGUAAACAUCGUUUAUCUUUUUAGACAUGGAUUCUUAUGAUCUUGUUUUUGGGAGUUGCAUUCCCUAUCCAGGUUUUGAGUAUCAUGUUCUGGGGUUUGUGCUGGUCUCACACAGCAUAUAAAACCAUGCUAUGCUUCACCAGUGCUCUCAUGCACUAACAUGCAUGAAGACUGACGUGCUAGGUGCAAGCAUGCAAUUGUGUUACAUGCUGGUGUGGCACUUGCAUGGUACAUUUCAAGUGCUACAACACAUAGCAGCUGGCACCUAAAUUAUCCUCCCCAUAAAUCUCUCAACAACUAUCUGAGGAGAAAGAGAGGCAAGAGGGUUAUUUUUGUCAGAAAUGGGUGUAUUCACGAGUCAUGACUCUGUUCUUUUAUUUGUUUUGAUGUGGUAUGAAUGCAAAGUUGUAAACAUAUUGGAGAGAGAGAACCUUUUGGAUACUAGAUGAACAUGUAAGUUUAAAAGAAACCAGGAAUUAUGAUUUUUUUUUCCUAGUUUGUUCUCCUCAGGUUGCCAGAAAGGGGUCUUUAGCUAUCUGGUCAUAUCAUUGGACACAUACCCACUAAUGUCUUGGACAUUGUGUUUGAGCUUGGCUCUUUUAGGCCUACUGUUCCUUAUGCCCCUUUAAUGUGUUUGUACAGAAUGAAUUAUGUGUUUACACAAACGUAUCAUGCAUGCAUGUAUAUAUAUUUUUUACUAUGCACAUACAGAUACGUGGAGGUUAUACACUAUUCUUUUAGUUGGUAUUUCAUGAGUCUGCAUCUUAUUUUGCUUUUUGGACACUCAAUCUAGGAUAAAUUGUGUUUACAGACAUUUAUUCCUAUGUCCUAUUUGCAUCCAUAUGCUUAGCAAAAUUUUUAAAGCAAUAUUUGGACACAUGUCUUGAGCAUGUUACUUGCAGGUCAGAUGGUGCAUCAACAUCUGAUGUUCGUAGGAUACGAAGAAGAAGCAUUAGUAUUACACCUGAGAUCAGUGAUGAUAUUGUGAGGUUGUUCUUUGAUUUAAUUUGAGUAGUCCUUUGUUCAUAUUUUUGAUCUCUUGCAGUUUCACCAAUUCCAAUUUCAUUUGUUCAUGUUCUUCUUUCUCGCCCUCCAAAUGUCCUUGUUGACAGAAACUUUAAAUAAGGCCUGGUAGUUGCAAAAAAUUGCAAAACAUUCAUAUCAUACAUUAUGCAGGGAAGUGUGCCAACACAUUCACUAUUGCAGUAUUAUGGCCUCAAACUUUUAAACAUCACGUGUCUAUUGGGUUAAAGGGACCAUGUAUAAUUUUGUACCAUAUCAUGGGCUUGCAACAAUGUAGGGUGGGGUCACAAAUUUAUCUGUAUGAACUCAGUUUCGUUCAAUGUCUCCAAAUUACACAUAGGAACUGUAUAAAUAAUUCUGUUACCAUAGUCCCAAACUUUCUGGAAAAUUUAUAAUUUGAUUUAAUUACUUAAAAGUAUUCAUUAUGUUUGCAUUUCAAACUUGUCUUAGGUGAAGUCUGUGUGCUUCUAUUGAUGUUUAUUUAUAUAUAAAAAAAGGGUGCAUAUACAAGAGUUCUGUAAUAUAAUCUGGUGUUAAUAAUGCUUAAACGUGUGGUAUGGGUAGUUAAAAAAAAAUUAUAUUCAUAAGCAUGAAGCAACACCUUUUUUUCCAAAAAAAAAAAAAGAUGUAGAUUUUCGCAUGGUAACUUUUCUUAUUAGGCUGUACUUUCAUCAUUGUGGAUUGGCAAGUAACUGGCAUACUGUGACAUGGUAUAUCAGUUGAUUCUACCUGAUUGAUACAUUUAACCUUGGGAACUGCUAUCAGGUAAACCUGGAAAUAAUUGUAGCUAUGCCGUAAUACUCCAACAAACAUGAAGAAUGAAUGCCCUUCUUACAAGCCUUCUUGGAGAUGAAUAUUGAAGGAUAUCAUUGCCGGUUGUGGAAUUUGGGCCAGAUAUUUGUCGAGUCAUUCAACAUGUACCACAAUACAAAUAUGUAAAACUCGAGUUAUAAUGGACUUAAGGAUCUUCCUAUUCCGGACCUAGUAUUAUUAAGGUAGGAUUCUAUAGAUUGUUCCUAUUCAUAGGGGACUUGUAAUCUCGCUGAAUCUAACCCACUUGACUACUUGAAAAGCCACAUAC